CGGCGGAGCCAGCGGGCGACGGGAGCGAGCCAGGCUGACGUGGGCCAGCUGACCAGGGCUGGCGGGCCGUGCCUGCCCUGCCUCGCCAUGGACCAGGACUAUGAGCGGCGCCUCCUCCGGCAGAUCGUCAUCCAGAAUGAGAACACAAUGCCGUGCGUGGCGGAGAUGCGACGAACCCUGACACCAGCCAACUCCCCCGUGUCCUCCCCCAGCAAGCACGGAGACCGCUUCAUCCCCUCGAGAGCUGGUGCCAACUGGAGCGUGAAUUUCCACAGAAUCAACGAAAAUGAGAAAUCUCCCAGCCAAAACCGGAAAGCCAAGGACGCCACCUCAGACAACGGGAAAGAUGGCCUGGCCUACUCAGCUCUGCUGAAGAAUGAACUGCUCGGUGCUGGAAUCGAAAAGGUGCAGGACCCACAGACGGAGGACCGCAGACUGCAGCCCUCCACGCCCGAGAGGAAGGGCCUCUUCACGUAUUCCCUCAGCACCAAGCGCUCCAGCCCCGAGGACGGCAAUGACGUGUCCCCCUACUCCCUGUCCCCCGUCAGCAACAAAAGUCAGAAGUUACUGCGGUCACCGCGGAAACCCACCCGCAAGAUCUCCAAGAUCCCCUUCAAGGUCCUGGACGCGCCCGAGCUGCAGGAUGACUUCUACCUGAACCUGGUGGACUGGUCGUCUCUCAAUGUGCUCAGUGUGGGGCUGGGGACCUGCGUGUACCUGUGGAGCGCCUGCACCAGCCAGGUGACCCGGCUCUGUGACCUCUCUGUGGAAGGAGACUCGGUGACCUCUGUGGGCUGGUCUGAGCGGGGGAACCUGGUGGCCGUGGGCACACACAAGGGCUUCGUGCAGAUCUGGGACGCAGCCGCAGGAAAGAAGCUGUCCAUGCUGGAAGGCCACACAGCACGCGUCGGGGCGCUGGCCUGGAACGCCGACCAGCUCUCAUCCGGGAGCCGGGACCGCAUGAUCCUGCAGAGGGACAUCCGCACACCGCCCCUGCAGUCAGAGCGGCGGCUGCAGGGCCACCGGCAGGAGGUGUGCGGGCUCAAGUGGUCCACGGACCACCAGCUCCUCGCCUCGGGGGGCAACGACAACAAGCUGCUGGUCUGGAACCACUCGAGCCUGAGCCCCGUGCAGCAGUACACGGAGCACCUGGCGGCCGUGAAGGCCAUCGCCUGGUCCCCACACCAGCACGGGUUGCUGGCAUCCGGCGGCGGCACAGCUGACCGCUGCAUCCGCUUCUGGAACACACUCACGGGGCAGCCACUGCAGUGCAUUGACACCGGCUCCCAGGUUUGCAACCUGGCCUGGUCCAAGCACGCCAACGAGCUGGUGAGCACGCAUGGCUACUCGCAGAACCAGAUCCUGGUCUGGAAGUACCCGUCCCUGACCCAGGUGGCCAAGCUGACCGGGCACUCCUACAGGGUCCUGUACCUGGGCAUGAGGACACAGGGCGCCUCCUCCUCCCACAGGCCAUGUCCCCUGAUGGAGAGGCCAUAGUCACUGGUGCUGGAGAUGAAACCCUGAGAUUCUGGAAUGUCUUUAGCAAAACCCGUUCAACAAAGGUAAAGUGGGAAUCCGUGUCUGUCCUCAACCUCUUCACCAGGAUCCGGUAAACCCGUGGCCGUGCUGUCCUGGUCUCAGAACACCACCUCUUGUCAGCGUGCAUGGACCCUCCCCUCCCCUGCAUACAGGCCCCAGAGGAAGGCAGCCGGGGUGGGGCGGGAGCCGGGCCUGGAGAGACCCCGAAGAUUCUAUUAAAGCCUGAUUGCGAACUCUGUCAGCCGGUGUUUGGGGAGGGGCUGCGGUCGGGCACCCCAGGAAUGGGGACUCCGGCUCCCUCCGCCCUGGGUGGCCCCGGCUCAGCCGGCUGUGCUCCUGUGCUCCGAGCGGAUGGACACGGGAUGGACGUCUCCUGGGACUCCGCCUGCUUCCAUCUGUGUCUGUCACUGCCUUGCUGGGGCUGCAUGCUCUUCCCGGAAGCGCGCGCUCCCCACCGCGCGUACCUGCUCCAGGACAGACAGCUGGGUGUCCGGGGACAGCUCAGACCUGCCCAUGGAUCAAAGGGACAUUCCACUUGAGAGGUUUCUCUGCAGCCACCUCUGCGUGUCCCUGCCCUGGCAGCCAUCCUGGUGACUUCUCCGGGGGCACGGCGUCGGGAGCAGGCCCCAGGCAGGCUGCAUGCCGAAGGUCAUCUCAAGAUGGACUUGUCCAAGGAAAAUGGAAGUCAGAUCUGUUCGCCAUCAUGUGCUCACCCCUCCUGAGCUGUCCUUGUCACUGACAGUCACAACCGACUGGUUCUUGCAGCUUGCUGGGCGGCCGGUCAGGGUAACCUGAGGGCAGAACUGACCCCGAGGGCCAGGUCCUGUGGACACCUGGCACUCUUCCCCAGCCCCUCCCCCUCCGGGCCACCCUAGUGGCUCCUGUCCAUCUGCACCUUCAGCCAGGGGCGGGGCACCCGCUGGUUCUCCUCAGGGCUUCCCCUGACCCUGGGUGUCCUCUGCCCUGUUCCUGACUGCACCUGGGCCCACCCUCCUCCAGAUUCACCUCCAGACCUGGCGGAAACAGAGGGAGGGAGGCGGGGCCAGGGCCCUGGGCAGCUGCUCUUCCCCUCCUCCCCUCCCUCCCUCUCCCCUCCUCGGGUCAGAGGACACUGAUGGAAGUGGACAGUGGAAUAGGCCUGGGCGGGGUGGGGAUCCAGCAUGGCCCAGGGAAGGCCACAGAGUCCCCCGGUCAUGCCGGCUCUGCUUGGAGCCCCCACUCCUCCAGGGUCUGAGAACCUUGUGCUCCCCCAGAGUCAGCCACACGUGUGCAUGUGUAUAUAUGUAUUUGUGACUUUCUUUGGAUUUGUCUUUGUGUUUUUGUAAAUCAGUCCUCAGAUGUUAAGGCUAGCGGCAGGGAGCAGUGGCUCGUCCCAGCUCCUUUGGGAGUGGAGGUCACAGCUUUUAAAGCCCUAUCAUUGGGAGGGGCAGUGGGCUGAACCUGCCUGAACUCGGGGAAGAGGGGGCUCCCGCCUCCCCGCCCAUCCCGCAGCUGCCUGCGUGGGGGUGGGCGAGGGGCAGUGUACACAGAUGCCCAUCCCACCUGCCUGCGUGGCGGGGGAGGGGCAUGGCAAGGGACAGUGUACAUAGAUGUGUAAGUAUUCCGGAUGGUCGAGAUUCUAUUUUUGUUUGAGUUUUGGUUUUUUUUUUUUUAAUAAGAAAAGGAUUAUGUCUGUACUGCACCCCACCCUGGCUCUGCUUGUAGGCUCCUCGCCUGGGAGCACAGAGGGGGCUUGAAACGAUGAAAAGUGUUGUCAGCGGGCGCGGUGGCAGGGCCGAGUGCGGGAGCGGGCAAUGUGCAGGCACCUGGUGCGGGUGAGCCUUGCUCCUCCUGGAAUGCAGUGUCGCAGCCAUUAAACCAUGUGGGUCAUGCA